AUUCCACCGAAGUCAGCUCCUCGUUUUAGGAAGAUGUGCGAACACUCACAUUUGCACUUCCAUAUGCAGAAAGGCAGAAGAGCUUACUUCAAAUUAAGAAAAGGUGCCUGUGGAAGACUGAAGUGCAAGCAAAUCAGCUUGUGCAGCAGAGUCUUGCAGCAUGUUGUCUCCACGUUAUCUGACUUGAAGGGCCAGAUUAGCUGCUGUAUGAUUACUUACAACUUGUGUCUAUUCUUUCAAGAUAAACCAGUAUUCUUUGCAAGCACAAAUUCGCUCCUGUAUUCUCCCACCCUAAAGAUGACUCAGAAGUGCAGCUUCCCAACUUCAGCUGCUACAAACACCAGUUUGUACAGGAGGACCCAAGAUUAUAGCAGUUAAUCCAGCACAGUGAACUAUUUCAAAAUUUCCACCCCCAACCCCCCCUCAAAAAAGGCUCUGCAUUGCAGACAGGCCAACGUUCACAUUACUCUUCCCAUAGAUCCUUCUGUUUGUCACAACAUGUUCAUUGUCAUCAGCAGUUUAGCAUCUGAGGGUGAGUAGUGGAGGCUGCAGUGUUUGUGGCACGCUGCAUGCAUAUCAAGGAGGAGACGAGAACAUGACACAACUCAUGUGUUUUCAUCUGAGGUGGCUUUUGCACAUCCAUUGCUAUACCUAAGGGGCGGAAUAUUUUUUCUGCCUGACAUGGUCUUCAUUUCAACAGAGUUCAAGACAGUAGAAGUCACAUCUGUGCUGUGAGAUAAAUGUGCCAGACUUUGGCCUGGGUAGAUGUUUUCUGGGAGAUUUCUAUGAGCAAAGCAUCAUUUCUGCUUCUGUUUGGAAUGCAGAGGAGUCUGAAGAGGCCACAAAGUUUCCAUGAAGCAGAAGAAAUGGGUCAUUAAGGGCUUGCUUCACAUCAACUCUGAAGAGAGGAUUUUGACUUUAGUGAACCAAGGCUAACUAUGAAUAACUGAAGGUCCAAGUCACUGGAUGACCUACCCUCUAAUACUUGUUUUUCAGCUUGCAGAAGCCCAAGUCCUCAUUCACUACUACUGCAUAGAGUCAAAUUAACAACUUAAACCUGCCUCUAGGAGCCUCCAAAUAUUCAUGUUGAACCCCUCUCACAGCACCAGGAGAUCAAACGAUGCAAAGUUUCUGUAGGAUCUAUCCACUGACUCCAGGUAAUGCUUUAAAUGCCAGUACCUUUCCUCCUUGUCUGUGAAGACUCUUCUUACACAUCUGUAAAACACCUGUUUGGACUGCCAUGCUUCGGGGAUAAAAUGCAAAUGCUGAAAAACUUGUUUUCUUGAGUAGAACCAGCAUUAUCAGUGAUGAAAGGCAUCACAAAACAGUGGUAGAAGAUGCUUCUCUGGAGAUGGCAUUCUCUGUGCCAUUCUUGAAACAAGGAUCCUUUCCAUGAGCUCCUAGUUUGUUUUCAUGUAUUGCUGCUUGAUACCACCAUGCCCUUCCAAGCAAAACUCCAUAAAUACAAACAAGGAUCUUGUCUUCAGUAAAGCCAGAAAGGUAGCUGACUUGCCUGACCAAGACCUGGGUGCAGUUCUGCAAAGCCUGUGAGUUGGCUCUCCCUUUCCAUCCAGUCCUGCUGCCCACUGCCAUUCAUACAACAGUACUUAAUCAAAAUUUGUACUCCAUUUCGGCUCACUGCCAAACUCCACAAUGAUUAUGUUACUGCUUUCUGUGGACCUUGAAGAUCACUGCACUUGAAAGGCGUACCAGCUUCCCAUCACUGGAUGCAUGCAGAAGGAGGAAGAAUCGGGAAAUGAAGUACCUCUCAACAGCAGUUUAAGUCAACAACUAAAAUUAAUUGCCUUCGCUUUCAAACUACAGUACUUGUGCAGGCUGCACAUGAACAGCCAAUUUCACACUCCUAGAAUCUGGCAAAAUGUUGACAAAACAGCCUCUUCUUGAAAAGAGAGGAAAAGUCAACCCUGCAUCUUGUAUCUCUUAAUAAGCCUCCUUUUUGUAAAAGGGUGCAGACAGUGAUCUUGCACUGCCAUGAUGGGCAACAUCAUUAAGAUCUAUACAGUUUUCCUUCUGCAACUUGAGAUUAUUGAGUGCAAAUAUUUGCUCAUAUCAGCUUGCGUAGAAGGCUGAUUUAGCUUGUAUGCAAUUAUAGUCUUGUGCACCUCAUACCCAAGAAACUCAGCAGUGCCAAAGGAGUAACUGGGCAUGUAACUUGAGCUCUGACCAUCAUGAAAGUACACUCCUGGAGAGAAGCUGGGUCCCGAGCCACUUUUCUGCCCCUCAGCAACGUCAUUGCCAUAUCCGUGCUUCACUUUGAACCUCUGUGCUUCAUGAGGCUUGGUCACCUCAGCAUUACUCAUGAACCCAAGUUUUACACUGCAUAUGUGCUUUUCUGUAGACUGAGGAGACACAAGCUGAGCAUAAAACAAAAUCUUUUUGAUUUGGCUAUUAUAUGAGAUGUUUUUGAUGCACCCACAAUCUACAAUGGGAAAAAGCUUGUCUGUCAGCCUUAGUCUAUCUCAGAUCUACUAAGUAGCUCUUAAAAUAAAUGGUUGUAAAUAUGGGGUAUGUAUAUGCUUAUUUAUAUGCUGUGUUUACAAGGAGCUUUGAAUUCCAUGCCAUUGUUUGUAAAUAUUCUAUAUAAUUCAUCUGUUUUUAUGUAUUAAUUUGUAUGUGUUCAUUUAUUUUUGGUAACAACCUGUUUCAUGGAAAUAUUUUAAUAAAAAUCUGUGAACAUGAGGAAAAGUAGAGCACAAUACAGAUGCACAAACAAACACUCGCUGCAUGACUCUGAGGAAAAAAAAAGUGUACAUGGGAUUCACACAUCAUGUAAAUAGAGAAACGUAUAAAACACCAAUGCAGACUGUAUGAAGCAUGUAAAUAAAGGCUAAGUGGGAACACCGACAGUCCUGCUUCCCUGCUGGCUCAUCUCUCACACCACACUAAGGCAUGCAAGGAGCCACGUGCAGGAUCCAGCCCUCUGUACGCAGGUUUGGGAUGCCUCCAUGGCGUGCAAAACGUGCAGGGCCCAUGGCUAUCAGAUGUCAGUAAUUUGCCAUCAGCUUCAAACUAGCCUGGGGCUUCUUGCCUUUGCCCAUCCCUCACACCCACAUGGCUUUUGGAAAACCUUGAGAGGAAAGGACAUGACCUGACCCCAAGCAGUGCUUACUUUUUGCUUUGAUCAUACGAAGCAGUAAGAUGUGGAAAUCCUGCUCUGGGCUCCCUCAAACAAAA